rnacentral:rRNA from 1 species
AGCAGUGGGGAAUAUUGCACAAUGGGCGCAAGCCUGAUGCAGUCCAUGCCGCGUGUAUGAAGAAGGCCUUCGGGUUGUAAAGUACUUUCAGCAGUGAGGAAGGUGGGUAUGUUAAUAGCAUACUCAUUUGACGUUAGCUGCAGAAGAAGCACCGGCUAACUCCGUGCCAGCAGCCGCGGUAAUACGGAGGGUGCGAGCGUUAAUCGGAAUUACUGGGCGUAAAAGCGCAUGCAGGUGGUUUGUUAAGUCAGAUGUGAAAGCCCGGGGCUCAACCUCGGAAUUGCAUUUGAAAACUGGCAAACUAGAGUACUGUAGAGGGGGUAGAAUUUCAGGUGUAGCGGUGAAAUGCGUAGAGAUCUGAAGGAAUACCGGUGGCGAAGGCGGCCCCCUGGACAGAUACUGACACUCAGAUGCGAAAGCGUGGGGAGCAAACAGGAUUAGAUACCCUGGUAG